GGCAGCUCCCGGUAAACCAUGCUCACCCGGUGGUCCCGGUGAACCUGGAUGGCCUCUGUCUCCAGUUGGACCCGUCUCACCAGAUUUGCCCUGGAAACAACCAAAUUACACAACGCACAUCACAAAACAGUUAUUUAAAACAUGCUAUCUGAAAUAAACAGCUAUUUGCUUAAGAAUCAACUAACGUGCCAUUAGCUGAGCCUCUUACCUGUGGUCCAACAACACCUGGGGGGCCAGGGGGUCCAUUCUUGCCUUGAAAACCCUGAAGAAUAAGACAAGUGACUCACUGGUUCCCCUCUCUGGCCUGGAUGACCUGGUAAUCCAUCUUUUCCAGCUGGACCCUGAAAGGGGAUCAUUUUCAUUGUAAUGAAAUGGACAUGACAUGAUGAAGGCUUUACAUCUAUGGUCCUAUUUAGGCCGUGUAUGUACAGUAUUAUCCAUGAGUCAGAAGAUUACCUGUUCUCCAGAGGAUCCUGAAGGACCAUCUUGUCCAGCAGAACCCUACCAGUUUUCUGCCUGCCAAUAAAUCUUUAGCUUUCCCAAGAUGGUCUUUGAGGGUGAGAGUGUAAACUGAGGCAUCCCCUGCCAGACAGUAGCUUCUCACUGCACCAGAUGGCCUGUCAUCUAGAAGAGUACAGCAACAACCAGUUCCAACUCGGUCGACACAUUCAUCCAUACUUUAUGAGAUGGGCAGGAGGGCCAUCAAUGCCUGGUAGUCCCUGCAUGCCUUGCUUCCCCAGGGGACCCUGUAUAGGACAGAGCGAGGAGCCAGAAGUGGUUGAGUCGUACUCUGCAGCUCAACUCGCCUCCCCUGGGUAUGUGAUGACAGGGGUCACGAGGUCACAGCUUUAAUUCUGAAAUGAAGUGAGAGACAUGUUACCUACCUUCUCUCCUGGCAACCCAAUGGGACCCUGAGGACCAGGCAAGCCCUAGACCAGAACAAAGCAUUAAUCAGGUUAAGUGUCACAAGACCUGGAAAAGGCUGAGAGUUGAGGUUUUGCUCGAGUCUGUGCAUGUGUACAUAUGGUAUAUUUGUAUUGUAUGUAAAGUCAUGAACGGUAUAUGUGGGUGUCCUUGUGUGAGCUAGGGGUUUGGAGGGAUUGUUGGAAUGCUGGAAAAUCGAAAAUAUGAGUAAAUCUCCUUUAUAUGACUGUAACGUCUCUGACGACAUUUUUAGGUAAAAUUUUGUUGUGGUGAGGUGAAAAACGUACAUCUCCAAAAACAUCAUUUUCACAAGGUAAUAAAAACAGCCUUUUAUUCUGAAUACAUUUUAGUGUCAUGCAAUUGGAUUGUGAAAAGGUUUUAUAUGCCCAAAAGGCCAGAGAUUUUUUUCAAAUUAUAGAAGAGCAAGUUUACCUUACUAAAAAUGUAACAAUCAUCAGUUUUUAUGUUGCAAAAUAUCAAAAGAAAUAAAGUGUCUGUGUGAGAAAGAGAGAGCAAAUGUAUGCAACUGUAUGCUUGCAAGAUGCUUGGUGUAACGAGUGGAUGAACUCUCAUAGCGACAGGACAGUUUUUUUGUGUUGGUAAAGUACCUGUACUCCUGGAUUUCCUUGUUGACCUGGGGGUCCUAUCUCUCCCGGUGGGCCCUGACAAGAAUAAAUGCUGGUAGUCACA